rnacentral:rRNA from 1 species
AGAAAUUCUAAAAUUUAUGAAAAAUAAUUUUUACCUUAAAUUAAUUAGUAUUUUGUAAAGAAAAUUUUUUAGCUGGUUAUAGUGCAUAGUAUUGUAAAAGAAAUAUUGAAAUAUUUGAAAACUUAAUUCAAAAAAAGUAGUUAUAAAUAAUCGUACCUUGUGUAUCAUGGAUAAUUAAAAUUAAUUUUAUAUUAAAUAAUCCCGAAAAAGAAAGAGCUAGUUAAUAAAACUUGUUUUUGUGGCAUAAAAAUUAAUAAUCUUUAACUAGAGGUGAAAUAUCAUUCGGUUUCUUAUAUCUGGUUUUUCCUGAAAUGAAUUUAAUUCUACUUAUUUGUUAAAUAAACAAAUAAUUAAAGACUAUUAGGGUAGAGCUUUAUAGUCAAUAAUAAAUAAGUAUAAAUUUUUAUAUAAUUAACAAAAACUAGGCUUAAAAGUAGCCUUGUAUAUAAAGUGUUUUAACUAAUUGAUUAAUUAAUAUUAUUUAAAUUAUUUUACUAUAAUUAGGGAAAAUUACAUUAAAGAACUCGGCAAAUAUUAUUUCCGCCUGUUUAACAAAAACAUGUCUAUAUGGUUUAAAUAUAUAGUCUAACCUGCCCACUGGUAUAAAAUCUAAAGGGCCGCAGUAUCUUGACUGUGCAAAGGUAGCAUAAUCAUUAGUCUUUUAAUUGAAGACUCGUAUGAAUGGUUGGACGAGAAAUAAACUGUUUCUUUUAUAUAUUUUGAAUUUAACUUUUAAGUGAAAAGGCUUAAAUACUUUAGAGGGACGAUAAGACCCUAUAAAUCUUAAUAUUUUAUUAUUAGAGAUAUUAUUCAUAAUGUCUAUAUAUCUUUAAUAAAAUAAUAUUCUACUGGGGCGGUAUAAAUAAAAUUAGUAACUGUUUAAUAUAAAUUCAGAAGUGCCUGAUAAUUAAUAGAUCCUUAUAUAAAGAUCAAAAGGUUAAGUUACUUUAGGGAUAACAGCGUUAUUUCUUUUAAGAGUUCAUAUCUAAAAAGAAGUUUGCGACCUCGAUGUUGAAUUAAAAUUUCUUUGUGGUUGCAGCAGCUACAAAAGAAAGUCUGUUCGACUUUUAAAAUUUUACAUGAUUUGAGUUCAGACCGGCGUGAGCCAGGUUGGUUUCUAUCUUCUAGGUAUAAUAAAACUAUUUUAGUACGAAAGGAUUAAAUAGUUAGAAAAUUUCUAUAAAUAAGAUUAAUAAUAUU